rnacentral:rRNA from 1 species
ACACAUGCAAGUCGAGCGGAUGACGGGAGCUUGCUCCUUGAUUCAGCGGCGGACGGGUGAGUAAUGCCUAGGAAUCUGCCUGGUAGUGGGGGACAACGUUUCGAAAGGAACGCUAAUACCGCAUACGUCCUACGGGAGAAAGCAGGGGACCUUCGGGCCUUGCGCUAUCAGAUGAGCCUAGGUCGGAUUAGCUAGUUGGUGGGGUAAUGGCUCACCAAGGCGACGAUCCGUAACUGGUCUGAGAGGAUGAUCAGUCACACUGGAACUGAGACACGGUCCAGACUCCUACGGGAAGGCAGGCAGGUGGGGAAAUAUUUGGACAAUGGGCGAAAGCCUGAUCCCAGCCCAUGCCGCGUGUGUGAAGAAGGUCUUUCGGAUUGUAAAGCACUUUAAGUUGGGAGGAAGGGCAGUAAGUUAAUACCUUGCUGUUUUGACGUUACCGACAGAAUAAGCACCGGCUAACUCUGUGCCAGCAGCCGCGGUAAUACAGAGGGUGCAAGCGUUAAUCGGAAUUACUGGGCGUAAAGCGCGCGUAGGUGGUUUGUUAAGUUGGAUGUGAAAGCCCCGGGCUCAACCUGGGAACUGCAUCCAAAACUGGCAAGCUAGAGUACGGUAGAGGGUGGUGGAAUUUCCUGUGUAGCGGUGAAAUGCGUAGAUAUAGGAAGGAACACCAGUGGCGAAGGCGACCACCUGGACUGAUACUGACACUGAGGUGCGAAAGCGUGGGGAGCAAACAGGAUUAAAUACCCUGGUAGUCCACGCCGUAAACGAUGUCAACUAGCCGUUGGAAUCCUUGAAAUUUUAAUGGCGCAACUAACCCAUUAAAUUGACCCCCUGGGGAGUACGGCCGCAAGGUUAAAACUCAAAUGAAUUGACAGGGGCCCCCACAAACGCGUGGAGCAUGUGGUUUAAUUCAAAACAACCCCCAAAAACCUUACCACGCCUUGACAUCCAGAAAAACUUUCCAAAAAUGGAUUUGGGGCCUUCGGGGAGACUAUAACAAAAAUGUCUACAUGGCCUGUCCUCACCUCCUGUCCUCAAAAAGGUGGGGUUAUAGUCCCGUAACGAGCGCAACCCUUGUCCUUAGUUACCAGCACGUUAUGGUGGGCACUCUAAGGAGACUGCCGGUGACAAACCGGAGGAAGGUGGGGAUGACGUCAAGUCAUCAUGGCCCUUACGGCCUGGGCUACACACGUGCUACAAUGGUCGGUACAGAGGGUUGCCAAGCCGCGAGGUGGAGCUAAUCUCACAAAACCGAUCGUAGUCCGGAUCGCAGUCUGCAACUCGACUGCGUGAAGUCGGAAUCGCUAGUAAUCGCGAAUCAGAAUGUCGCGGUGAAUACGUUCCCGGGCCUUGUACACACCGCCCGUCACACCAUGGGAGUGGGUUGCACCAGAAGUAGCUUAGUCUAACCUUCGGGAGGACGGUU